rnacentral:rRNA from 1 species
GAUGAACGCUGGCGGCGUGCCUAAUACAUGCAAGUCGAGCGAAUGGAUUAAGAGCUUGCUCUUAUGAAGUUAGCGGCGGACGGGUGAGUAACACGUGGGUAACCUGCCCAUAAGACUGGGAUAACUCCGGGAAACCGGGGCUAAUACCGGAUAACAUUUUGAACCGCAUGGUUCGAAAUUGAAAGGCGGCUUCGGCUGUCACUUAUGGAUGGACCCGCGUCGCAUUAGCUAGUUGGUGAGGUAACGGCUCACCUAGGCAACGAUGCGUAGCCGACCUGAGAGGGUGAUCGGCCACGCUGGGACUGAGACACGGCCCAGACUCCUACGGGAGGCAGCAGUAGGGAAUCUUCCGCAAUGGACGAAAGUCUGACGGAGCAACGCCGCGUGAGUGAUGAAGGCUUUCGGGUCGUAAAACUCUGUUGUUAGGGAAGAACAAGUGCUAGUUGAAUAAGCUGGCACCUUGACGGUACCUAACCAGAAAGCCACGGCUAACUACAUGCCAGCAGCCGCCGUAA